CCUACGGGAGGCAGCAGUGGGGAAUAUUGCACAAUGGGGGAAACCCUGAUGCAGCAACGCCGCGUGAGUGAAGAAGUAUUUCGGUAUGGAAAACUCUAUCAGCAGGGAAGAAGAAAGACGGUACCUGACUAAGAAGCCACGGCUAACUACGUGCCAGCAGCCGCGGGAAUACGUAGGGGCCAAGCGUGAUCCGGAUUUACUGGGGGUAACGGGAGCGUAGACGGCUGGGCAAGUCUGAGGUGAAAGCCCGUGGCUCAACCGCGGAACUGCUUUGGAAACUGUAUAGCUGGAGUACUGGAGAGGCAGGCGGAAUUCCUAGUGUAGCGGUGAAAUGCGUAGAUAUUAGGAGGAACACCAGUGGCGAAGGCGGCCUGCUGGACAGAAACUGACGUUGAGGCUCGAAAGCGUGGGGAGCAAACAGGAUUAGAUACCCGAGUAGUC
rnacentral:rRNA from 1 species